rnacentral:rRNA from 1 species
UGGCAGGUACAGAGGGAUGCUACCGGGCGACCGGAUGCGGAUCUCGAAAGCCUGUCCCAGUUCGGAUUGGAGUCUGCAACCCGACUCCACGAAGUUGGAUUCGCUAGUAAUCGCGCAUCAGCCAUGGCGCGGUGAAUACGUUCCCGGGCCUUGUACACACCGCCCGUCAAGCCAUGGGAGCCGGGGGCGCCUGAAGUCCGGGACCGCGAGGACCGGCCUAGGGCGAAACUGGUAACUGGGGCUAAGUCGUAACAAGGUAUC